rnacentral:sRNA from 1 species
ACGCCGGCACUUUGGCGACUGGAGAAAAACAGCAGGCCAGCAAAGGGUCCGCCGGUCGGAGCGGACAGAUCGAUGU